rnacentral:rRNA from 1 species
GAUGAAUGCUGGCGGUGUGCCUAAUACAUGCAAGUCGAGCGGAAAGGCCCCUUCGGGGGUACUCGAGCGGCGGACGGCUGAGUAACGCGUAGGAACGUACCCCAAACUGAGGGAUAAUCCACCGAAAGGUGGACUAAUACCGCAUGUGCUCUUCGGAGUAAAGCUUCGGCGGUUUGGGAACGGCCUGCGUCCGAUUAGGUUGUUGGUGAGGUAAUGGCUCACCAAGCCUACGAUCGGUAGCUGGUCUGAGAGGAUGAUCAGCCAGACUGGGACUGAGACACGGGCCAGACUCCUACGGGAGGCAGCAGUAGGGAAUUUUGCGCAAUGGGGGAAACCCUGACGCAGCAAUACCGCGUGUGGGAUGAAGGCCUUCGGGUCGUAAACCACUUUUUUCGGGGACGAUAAUGACGGUACCCGAAGAAUAAGCCACGGCUAACUACGUGCCAGCAGCCGCAGUAA